rnacentral:rRNA from 1 species
AGAUUGAGGAGCUUGCUCCUCAUGAAAGUGGCGCACGGGUGCGUAACGCGUAUGCAACCUACCUUAAUCAGGGGGAUAGCCCGAAGAAAUUCGGAUUAAUACCGCAUAAAAUAAUUGAGUGGCAUCAUUUAAUUAUCAAACAUUUAUGGGAUUAAGAUGGGCAUGCGUGACAUUAGUUAGUUGGUGAGGUAACGGCUCACCAAGACGACGAUGUCUAGGGGAUCUGAGAGGAUGACCCCCCACACUGGUACUGAGACACGGACCAGACUCCUACGGGAGGCAGCAGUAAGGAAUAUUGGUCAAUGGAGGCAACUCUGAACCAGCCAUGCCGCGUGCAGGAAGACGGCCCUAUGGGUUGUAAACUGCUUUUGUCGGGGAAUAAACCUUCGUACGUGUACGGAGCUGAAUGUACUCGAAGAAUAAGGAUCGGCUAACUCCGUGCCAGCAGCCGCGGUAAUACGGAGGAUCCAAGCGUUAUCCGGAUUUAUUGGGUUUAAAGGGUGCGUAGGCGGCUUAUUAAGUCAGGGGUGAAAGACGGUGGCUCAACCAUCGCAGUGCCUUUGAUACUGAUAAGCUUGAAUACACCUGAGGUAGGCGGAAUGUGACAAGUAGCGGUGAAAUGCAUAGAUAUGUCACAGAACACCAAUUGCGAAGGCAGCUUACUAAAGUGUAAUUGACGCUGAGGCACGAAAGCGUGGGGAUCAAACAGGAUUAGAUACCCU